rnacentral:rRNA from 1 species
AUGCUAAUACCGUAUAACAAUGACAACCGCAUGGUUGUUAUUUAAAAGAUGGUUCUGCUAUCACUAAGAGAUGGUCCCGCGGUGCAUUAGCUAGUUGGUAAGGUAAUGGCUUACCAAGGCGAUGAUGCAUAGCCGAGUUGAGAGACUGAUCGGCCACAAUGGGACUGAGACACGGCCCAUACUCCUACGGGAGGCAGCAGUAGGGAAUCUUCCACAAUGGGCGAAAGCCUGAUGGAGCAACGCCGCGUGUGUGAUGAAGGGUUUCGGCUCGUAAAACACUGUUGUAAGAGAAGAAUGACAUUGAGAGUAACUGUUCAAUGUGUGACGGUAUCUUACCAGAAAGGAACGGCUAAAUACGUGCCAGCAGCCGCGGUAAUACGUAUGUUCCAAGCGUUAUCCGGAUUUAUUGGGCGUAAAGCG